rnacentral:rRNA from 1 species
AACGAACGCUGGCGGCAUGCCUAACACAUGCAAGUCGAGCGCCUGUAGCGAUACGGGAGCGGCGCACGGGUGAGUAACGCAUGGGAACCUGCCCUUAGGUUCGGGACAACCGCGGGAAACUGCGGCUGAUACCGGAUGAAGUCCCCGACAGAGAUAUGGGGGCCCAAAGAUUUAUCGCCUUUGGAGGGGCCCGCGUCGGCGUAGGUAGUUGGGGGGGUAACGGCUAACCAAGCCUGUGAUCCGUAGCUGGUCUGAGAGGAUGAUCAGCCGCACUGGGACUGAGACACGGCCCAGACUCCUACGGGAGGCAGCAGUGGGGAGUAUUGGACAAUGGGGGCAACCCUGAUCCAGCAAUGCCGCGUGGGUGAUGAAGCCUUCGGGUUGUAAAGCCCUUUCGGCGGGGACGAUGAUGACGGUACCCGCAGAAGAAGCCCCGGCUAACUUCGUGCCAGCAGCCGCCGUAACAC